CCUACGGGGGCAGCAGUGGGGAAUAUUGGACAAUGGGCGAAAGCCUGAUCCAGCCAUGCCGCGUGUGUGAAGAAGGCCUUCGGGUUGUAAAGCACUUUCAGUGGGGAAGAAAGCCUUGGGGCUAAUACCCUCGAGGAAGGACAUCACCCACAGAAGAAGCACCGGCUAACUCCGUGCCAGCAGCCGCGGUAAUACGGAGGGUGCGAGCGUUAAUCGGAUUUACUGGGCGUAAAGCGCGCGUAGGCGGUCUGAUAAGCCGGUUGUGAAAGCCCCGGGCUCAACCUGGGAACGGCAUCCGGAACUGUCAGGCUAGAGUGCAGGAGAGGAAGGUAGAAUUCCCGGUGUAGCGGUGAAAGGCGUAGAGAUCGGGAGGAAUACCAGUGGCGAAGGCGGCCUUCUGGACUGACACUGACGCUGAGGUGCGAAAGCGUGGGUAGCAAACAGGAUUAGAUACCCCAGUAGUC
rnacentral:rRNA from 1 species